CCCUUAGAUGUUCUGGGCUGCACGCGCGCUACACUGAAGCUAUCAACACGUUUUCCCUCCCUGAGAAGGGCGGGUAACCUUUUGAAUCAGCUUCGUGGUAGGGAUCGGGGCUUGCAAUUGUUCCCCGUGAACCAGGAAUUCCUAGUAGACGCGAGUCAUAAGCUCGCAUCGAUUAAGUCCCUGCCCUUUGUACACACCGCCCGUCGCUACUACCGAUUGAACGUUUUAGGGAGGCAUUUGGACCGACGCAUCUCAGUUUAACCGCUGGUUUGUGUUGGAAAGACUUCCAAACUUGAGCGUUUAGAGGAAGUAAAAGUCGUAACA
rnacentral:rRNA from 1 species